UAAUGUUUGAUUCACUAAACUUUGCCAUGAACUUUAUUGUUUGUAAUCUCUAGUCCUCGGAAUAGAGUAGUGAUAUGUUUAUAAGGAGUUAUGAUAUGCUUAUGCAAAAAAUAGACAUUUUUUUUUUUUUUUUUUUUUUUUUUUUUUUUUUAUGGAUUUUUCCAAGGAUUUAGGUGUUUAAGUAAUACCUUCGUGAGUAAAUGAUUCCUGUGAACUUUGAAAUCCUCUUAUAAUUUUCUACGUAAUUAUCUGGAGGAAACGUGAAAAUAUCUGUAAGAAACUUGACUGUUGAUUGUAGUUUUUAAGUGUUUUUCGUA
rnacentral:lncRNA from 1 species